UUUGUUUUGUUUCUCUUUUCUUUUUUUUUCAUUUUUUUAAUGUUUAUUUAUUUUUGAGACAGAGGGAGACAGAGCAUGAGUGGGGGAGGGGCAGAGAGAGAGGGAGACACAGAAUCCGAAGCAGGCUCCAGGCUCUGAGCCAUCAGCCCAGAGCCUGACGCGGGGCUUGAACUCACAAACCGCGAGAUCAUGACCCGAGCCGAAGUCGGACGCUCAACCGACUGAGCCCCCAGGCGCCCCUGUUUUGUUUCUUAAAGUCUACAUAUAAAUGAAGUAUCUAGUGUUUCUCUUUCUCUGACAGGUUUAUUUUGCUUAGCGUUAUACUCUCUAGGUCCAUCCAUGUUGUUGCAAAUGGCAAGAUUCCAUUCUUUUUUAUGGCCGACUAAUAUUCCAUUGGGUACAUACACCACAUCUUUACCCAUUCAUCUCUCGAUGAACAACGAGCGGCUUCCAAAGUUUGGUUAUUGUGAAUAAUGCUGCUAUAGGCAUCGAGGUGUACGUAUCCUUCUAAUUAGUGUUUUUGUAUUCUUUGGGUAAAUACCCAGUAAUGCGAUUACUGGAUCACAGGGUAGUUCUAUUUUUAACCUUUCGAGGAACCUCCACACUCUUCCCCAGAACGGCUGCACCGGUUUGCAUCCCCACCGACGGUGCAAGAGGGUUCCCCGUGCUCCCCAGCCUCGCCGACACCUGUCGUAUCUUGUCUUUUUGAUUUUAGGCAUUCUGACAGGCGUCAGGUGAUAGCUUGCCGUGGUUUUGUAAAUCCCCCUCUUCUUCGCUUGGAUCCUGAAUCACGUGACUGUUUAACCUAUUUAAAAAGACAUUCUGGGGCGCCUGGGUGGCGCAGUCGGUUAAGCGUCCGACUUCAGCCAGGUCACGAUCUCGCGGUCCGUGAGUUCGAGCCCCGCGUCGGGCUCUGGGCUGAUGGCUCAGAGCCUGGAGCCUGCUUCCGAUUCUGUAUCUCCCUCUCUCUCUGCGCCUCCCCCGUUCAUGCUCUGUCUCUCUCUGUCCCAAAAAUAAAUAAACGUUGAAAAAAAAAAAUUUAAAAAAAAAAAAUAAAAAGACAUUCUAAUUGGACUUAUCGCUUUAUCACGUGAUCCUCAGAAUACUCUGCAGGAGGGAGCUGGACCCCACCCACUCGGCAGACAGGUGACCCGCUCAAGGUCACACGGCUCUGUCUUAGGAGACUCUGCCGGGCGGUGAGCUGGCACCUCCAGGCGCCGGAGUGUUUCUGAGGUGCAGCUCUCUGGCUGAGGUCAUGGCCUCGUGCUCCAGGGGAGGAGCCCCCACGGCCGUUCCUGCUGGCCUCUGGCUGGGGCGGCAGGGACAAGUGCCUUCACUCUGCCUGGCUGGUCCCACUGGCUGGGUUUGAGAACCUGCCCUACAGGCCCCAGCUCUGCGGGGGGAAGAAAUAAAAAUAGCCAGGCGGAGAGGCCAGGGGCUGGGCUGUGGGCAGCAACACGUGCCUUUCCCAUGACUCGGGUUCUGUAGAGCAGUCUUCCCCUGAGCCCGUGCGUGCCAGGCCCUGGGCUGGGUGCCCAGAGGCAGAGCAGAGUCAGACACAGCUGCCCCGCCCGCAGCAGCUCACAGCCUUGGGGGUGGGACGUGUCCCGUGCAGCACCGAGGGGUGGGGGCCCGAGAGGGGCUGGCGUGCAGGGGACUGUGCAGGAGAGGCCCCUCACUCAGCCCGGGGGGCGGGGGGGGGGGGGGGGGGAGGGGAGCAGGGAAGGGUUCCCAGAAAUAGGUCGCAUGGGAGAACACAGCCGUUAAGAAGAGGUGCGGGGUCCGUUCCAGGCAGUGGGAACAGCAUUUGCAAAGGCAGAGAGGUGUGACAAAUAUGACCCCCUGAGGAGUGUGAGUGGCCGGGUGCACUGGAGGGGUGGGGUGCCUGUGGGGCAGGAUGUGGGGUUGGGCUGGGGAAGCAGGAGAGGCUGGACGGGACUGUGGGGCAAUGGGGAGCCAAGAGACGUUGCCCAGCGGGGGAUAACACGUUUGAAAGGCUGGAUUCCCGAUCUCCACGAGACAGUCACACCAAGGGGGGGGGCCCCGCCGUCUCGUCCCUGUGUGCCCCUGCGUAGAUGCCAUGGAGGCCUCUUGACCAACUUCCAGUAGUCUCUAGCACCUGCAGCUCUUCCCGAGGGCUCUCUCCGGCUGCCAGAAUUCAUGCUUCUGCUGGUCUUCAUCCAUUACCACCAGGAACCGGGGCCCCUGUAGUGGGGAGACUGACCUCUCCUAGAGGAGGCAGAGCCCAGUCGGGCACAGCUGCCCUGCCGACAGGAGCUCACAGCCUUGGAAGCUUCUAGAGCCUUCUGGGGUUCCUUGGCUCGUAGCCCCUCCUCCAGUUUCACAGCCACAGGUGAAGUCCUUCUCACACUGCGUCUCCCAGACCCACUCUUCUGUCUCCCUCUUCCAAUUUUAAGGACUCGGUGUGAUCAGGUUAUUGGCCUGGAUAAUCUCCCCAUCGCAAGGUCCAGAACCUUCAUCACCCCUGUGAAGUUCCUCCUGCCAGUGUAGGGUAGCAGAUGUACAGGUUCUGGGGAUCCGGAGCUGGACAUCUUUGGGUACCAUGAUUCUGCUGAUAAACCAUUUGCACUGAAUCUUUGCCAUAAAGCUUGGUUAUGGCCACACGAAGAAGCCCAAACCUUCAUGCUGGUCCCUCACUCCGCUCUGCAUACCCCAGCUCCUGGUCGGCCUUCUCCCCCCUUCUCUGAGGCUCUUGGCAGUUCAGGCGCCACAGAUGUUAGGUUUUGCUGACCUUUUACCCUGAAUCACCUCCUCCAAGUCCCUGCCCCUGACCGAAGCCUCACUCCCUGCAACCUCAGGGCAAUUGAGGGCAAUUGAGGCAAAAAGCCAGGAAGGGACUUGAAGCCACACGCAGGGUGGAGAAGGGGCGUGGUUCGAAUCCUUCGAAUCCUUUCUCUGCACUUCCGUGCUUGGUGGCCUUGGGAGACUUGCUGGUCCUUUCAGAGCCUCACCUGACAAGGGAGGUGGGGGCCUGGAGGGACCACGGGGCAGGUCCGAGAGUGGACGGGUGCAAAUACCUGGCACACAGCAGCCUCUCAGGAAACAAGAGCUGUUGUCAGGGACCAGGUAGUUCUAGCCCUUGUUAUCUUCUCCUUUAGAGAAAAGAAUAACAAGAAAUAAAUGCUGUGCUGCCUCCCCGAGCUGCCAACUGCUUAGGGGCAAAAGAGCUUUGUUUGUUUGUUUGUUUGUUUCCUGGAUGCAAAGAUCCAGCUGAUCUCUCCAAUCCCAGUGCAACGGACAAGGUGGGGCCAAUGCUGACGCCGCCUGGAAGGCUGCUGAGGUUUUGGGGUUACCCAGGAGGGGCCCUUCUGAGGACCCACCAGGACCUUCGCCUCAAAACCAGCAACAGUUUCAGGGGCCUGUGCAAGCCACAGGGGUAAUUAGGCCAGAUGGUCUCGAGACAGAAAUUCCAACGCGAUGCUAUAAAUCAAGCCACAGUCGGGAAGGGCGUCAGAUCGACAGAGGGUGUGGUCAUAUUAUGGCAAUUUGCCCCUUCAGGCAACGUUUCUGGGGCAUUGCCUCCAGCCUCCCCUCCAACUGACCUUGGAAACGAGUUAGGGGAUGGGUUCUGACAGUUUGGGCGGUAAAUUAAUGCCUCCCUGUGAAUAUUGUUCCAUAUUCCCUCGGAUGGUGUCAACAAGGAAGAAUGUGGGGUUUUCGAGACAUUUUUUUUUUUCAAGAAAGAUGUAGGAAAUGGGAAUUUCCACAUAAUUCCUGUAUGAGUUUGGCUGUUCUGUUUCUCCAAAGAUGGGUUUUUGUUUUUCAAAAGACUGCGCAUCUUUCCGCCAACUAGACGCACUGCAGAACUUUCUAGCGUCUUUCUCCAUCUUGCUCCCCAGGGCAGCUGGAAUUGAGACUGCCACCGGGCAAGCUUCACACAAGCCAGGGGCACAGCGGUGGCACGUUAUGAGGAAGGGCCCCCCGUGAAUCCGAGAACACCCCGCACUCGGCUGGCGGAUGGGAUAAACCCAGUCACGGGGCGGAACGUGUGGCUGAGGCCAGGGUCCCUGUCACCACUCUGCCACUUUCUGGCUGUUGCUCUCCCUUGGGCAAGGUCUCUAUUUCUUUUGCUCCGGUAAAAUGAGAGAGUAAUGGCAAGUGUCUCAUAGGCCUGUGAGGAUUUGAUUCGUAAAUACACACAAAGCAGCCAGCAAACGCUAGCAUUUUUCUCCGCUCAAGAAGGCCUCCGUGAUGGGGCGCCUGGGCGGCUCGGUUGGUUGAGCGAAUGACUCUUUUUUUUUUUUUUUUUCAGUGUUUAUUUCUUUUUGACAGAGAGAGAGAGAGAGAGAGAGAGAGACAGAGCAUGAGCGGGGGAGGGGCAGAGAGAGAGGGAGACACAGAAUCCGAAGCAGGCUCCAGGCUCCCAGCUGUCAGCACAGAGCCUGAUGUGGGGCUCGAACUCAAGACUGUGAUAUCGUGACCUGAGCCAAAGUCGGACGCUCAACCAACUGAGCCACUCAGGAGCCCUGAGCGAAUGACUCUUGAUUUUGGCUCAGGUCAUGAUCCCAAGGUCGGAUCCCUGCAUUGGGCUCGGGGCUCUGGGCCCAGCACGGAGCCUGCUUAAGAUUUUUUUUUCCUCUUUCUCUCCCUCUGCACGCGCAUUCUCUCUCUCUAAAAUAAUAAGAAAAACAAGGCCUCCGUGGCUCGUUAGGCAAAUAGCAGGCAAACGAAUUCAUGUAAGCAUACGAGGACAAGGACACCGUUUUUCAAGUGAAAGAUAAGGGCCUAGAAAGAAAUGGACCACAGCAGCAUUCACAGUGGCCAAAAGGGGGAAGGAAGCGAGCCAAGUGUCCAUCGAGGGGUGAACGAAGUGUGGUGCGUCCGUGCAGUGGGACGUUAUUCGGCCCUAGAAAAGAAGGGCAUUCUGACAGCUGCUGCACCACGGACGAACCUUGAGGACGUUAUGCUCGGUGAAAUAAACCAGUCGCAAAAAGACAAAUGCUGCGACUCCACUUACACGGGGUCCCGGGAGGCGUCAAACUCAUGGACACAGAAAGCAGGAUGGCGGCUGGUGAGCGCAGGGGUGGGGCGGCGGGGAGGGGGCGUACAGGCGGCUCCCCGUGUUCAGUUUCAGUUUGGCAAGGUGAACAUCAUGGAGGUGGACGGUGGGAAGUUUGCACAACAUUAUGGAUGUACUUAGCACCACUGAACUGUGUACUCAGAAAUGGUUAAGAUGGCAUAUUUUGUGUUAUGUGUAUUUUACUACAAUUAAGACAAUUAAAAAAAAAAAAAUGACCCAACUUGCCAGGUCCCUCUGCUGGGAAGCAGGAGAGGAAGGAUUCAGACUCAGGUCUGAGUGACUCCCCUGCCCGUGGCUCCCCACCAGAAACUUCCAGGCCAUGUGCCUGUUGAAUGGGUACAAUUCAGGGGGAGAGGGUGGCUUCCAGGAAGAGCUGAAUACUUUACUAAGUAAGGGAAGACACAAAAUGCGACCUGGAAGAGAGGAGAGAUCAGUGGCCAUGAAGUCAGGAGAAUGGGGGUGUCAGGUGACUUCGGCUGUGUGAGCUUGGGCACACAACACACCUCUGUGUUGCGUGUCUCCACUCCUACAUGAGGGUUAGGUUGGUAGGGAGUCAGGGGCCUUCCAGCUCGACGGUCUAGGGGUGGGUGGGAUCCAUUCGGCUCCUGGCCCAGGCAUGUUCUCACAGCUCCAAUGGGCCUGAGAGCCAUCCCUCACCCCAGGAUCCUCUGGGUGCUGGGAACGGUCUGCUUCCUCGAACACCGACCAUGCACCAAGCUCUGUUCUGGGCCAGGUCCUGACCCGCGGGCUGACAGGCAGUAGACAAGUAAAUAAACAGGAAUAGAUCCUGCCAAGACGGGAGGACCGGUAAUGGGGUAGGGCUUUUCAGGAGCAAGGCCAACAGAGCUCUUGGUGGAGAGGGAAGGUCUGGUUGGGCCCCAGAAAGGCAUCCUGGAGGUGGUGGCGUUCGGGCCGGCCCCGAGCCUGGUUCCACAAGCCCUUACUGAGCACAGACGGCCAGCUGGCAGGGAGGUGCUGGAGACAGGGAGCACGCAGGCCCAGUCUCAUGGGGACGACAGACAGGGCAGCUGCGGGGCAGGGGAGGGGGACAGAAGAGCACCUUUGCCUGGACAAAAGGACACACGAGCUGGACUCUGGAGGAUGAGUACGUUUGUCCGAGCUGAGAAGCGCCCCGGGCUUGGGGAACAGCAUGGGGGAAGGCCUGAGGGCCCAACGCGGAACUACAUGAAAAACAAAACCUGGACCGAGGUCUGUAUGCUAGGUGACCCUGGUUAAGGUGAACCUCAGUUUCCCCAUUUGCACAACGAAUGGGAGCACUUUUGAGUGUGAAAUGAGAUGAUGCAGGGACAGAGCAGAGGCUCGGUGGUGUGGGUUUCUUUCUUGUGCCUCCCUGUAUUGCUGGACCACAGCGUGCCAGGGGAACGGGGGCAGGCAAGGGUGAAUUUGCUCCAUUCGGCUCCUGGCCAAGCCCCUUCACCUACACUGGCUGCCCACCCCUCUUACUAGAGAAUCGCCUUCUGGGACCCCAGCAUCCCCGCACGGAGCCUACCAGCCCCAGCCUCUAAAAUCUCCACCCAUCGGAAACACUCCAUCCUGGAUGUCAUGCUUUGAGGGACCUUCUUUCUGCUCCUGGAAAUGAUGGCUGAGGGUGAGUAGAAUUCCAGCUCAGGGUUAGGGGUGGCCCAGAUCCUCUCCGUUUUACCUCUGGAGGGAUGCAGCUCAGCUGCGGAAGUCCCAAGCUCCGGGGAAGCGGUGGAAAAAGUGCCCCUGGUCAGGAGAGGCAAGACAGGUGGCAUUCCUGCCCCCCGAUGUCCCCCAGGCUGAGCUUGAAGGGCCUCAGCAGGAAAGGAGCUUGGCCCAAGUCUAUGCAACUGCCAGGCAGAGAAACCCACCCUGUCCAACUCUUCCAUGUUGGCUCUGAGAAGCAAAACCCCCGCCUCUGAGCCGUGAGCGCACCUGAUGUAUGUCCUCAGCUACAGUCACUUCUUUCUGGAAGAUGCCAGCUUCCUCCAAGCACACCUAAGCAUUGUCAUCAGACGAUGACAUAAUUAUGGCAUAUAAACAUAAAUAUAAUAUCCAUGUUAAUGAGUAUCAAUUAUAUUCAUUUUCCCUGUAAACACUGCGGCAUCAUGAGCUGUUAGUAACAAUUCUUAGGAAUGACCCAAACAGAGCCGUAAAUCGUUGGCACCCUCUGAUCUUUAUUUAUUCAUUCAGCGAAUCCUUAUUUGAGUGCCUGCGGUGUGUGAGGCCCUGUUUUAGGGGCUGGGAACACAGCAGUGCACACGGCAGGUAGAGCCCUGCCUGGAGUUCAUAGUUAGAGCAGGCAGAAGGCCAGAGACAAAUAAAUAUGCAGAGAAGCAUGCGAUGCCUAGCGCUAGGAAGAAAAACCCAGGUAACACAGGGCGAAGGGGAAAGGCUGUGAGAUUUUAUGACUGUGGACGGUGAUUAGGGACAUAACCUAGUGGAAUGAACGGUGGACACAAGAGGUAUGUCCACAGAACCUCUGAAUGUGGCUAUAUUUGGAAAAGAGGUCUUUGCAGAUGUCAUUAAGUGACAGAUCUGGAGAUGAGCUCAUUCUAGAUUUGUCCAGGGAGGCCCUAAAUCUGAUGACCAGUGUCCUUAUAAGAAGAGGAGAAGACAGACACACGGAGAAGGCGAUGUGAAGGCCCCAGUGGCCACGGAGGCAGAGAUUGGACUGAUGUGGCCACAAGCCAAGGAAUGUCUGGAACCAUCAGAAGCUGGAAGAGACCAAGGAUUCUCCCUUAGAGUCUUUGGAGGGAAUGUGGUUCUGCUGCUGCCUUGAUUUCAGACCUCUGGCCUCUGGAAUCCUAAGAGAAUAAAUUUCUUUUGUUCUAAGCCACCCAGUUGGUGCUACUUUGUUACAGCAGCCCCAGGAAACUAAUACUCAUAACUUCUGACCCACCUUGAACUCAGUGUGGAAGUAACCCACACAGGUAUGCAGGGGAACAGCAUUACAGGUGGAGGCAAAUCAAGUGCAAAGGCCCUGAGGCCGACUGGGCAGACUUGGGGAAGGGCAUAAACCAAUGUGGCUGCUGCAGGUGGCACUGGGGUUUAUGAGAGCAGGUCAGAAGGAGCCUGAUGGGAGGGCCUUGUGGCAAAAGGACUGCCCUUUACUAGAGGGUUUAGGGUAGGAGAAUGACAUGAUCUGAUGUGGUCCAUAAUCAGACCAUGCUGGCUGCUGAGAUGAGAACAGACUGAAAAGGUGGGGGAUGGAAGCCCACUUCAUAUGCCCCCCAAGAUCAAAUCUGAUUCCAAAAGCACUGUCAGGCUCAUAUGCUUUACUGAAGGUUUGGUGGGAAACCAGAAGGGGAAGUCUCAAAGCACACGCCCAGCAAAUGCUGUCCUCCCUUCCUCUUUGAACAUCUCAGCUCCUUCUUCUUCCUUUUUUUUUUUUUUUAAUCUUUAAAUGUUUAUUUAUUUUUGAGAGAGUGAGAGAGACAAAGUGUGAACAGGAGAUGGGGACACAGAAUCAGAAGCAGGCUCCAGGCUCCAAGCUGUCAGCACAGAGCCUGAUGCAGGGCUCGAACCCACGAACCGUGAGAUCAUAACCCGAGCCAAAGUCGGAUGCCUAAUGACUGAGCCACCCAGGUGCCCCUGCAUCUAAAAUCCUUUUAAUAACAAGCCAGGAUCUGGGGCUAGUUUCUGCAGCUGGCUGGAUGGCCUCUGGUGAGCUCAAACUUCCAGCCCUUGGAUCUCCUGUGGGAUUUGGUGUGGACUUCUCUGAGGUCCCUGACAAAAUGCCUGUGUACUUCUCAGCCCUUGCACGGACCAGAAAGCAAGACGGUGCCACAGCCCUUUGGUGGGGGGUUGUCCAGGGCCAACUGGUCAAAGGCCAGAACCUUGCCCCCAGCUUUGAGGAUACGGCUUGGGGACGACUGCCCACAUCUUCAGUUCGGGUACCUUUUGGGCACUCACCUCGUCGGUUACAGUCCCUACAACCAUAGCUGUUUUCUCCUCUUGGCCAGGAAGCUUCAUCUUCCUGAUCAUCUGGGAAAGGGACAGAGGCCACCGCUGGCGGGACUCACGAACACCCUCUUCGACACAAUGUGGCUAAAUGUGGAGCCGGUUCGUCUGGCCAGAAGCCUGCACAGCUUGACCAGCAGUCUCAGGUAAAUGUCCUGGCUCUUGGGCUCUGUGCGUCUAACCAUCUGGUCCUGUUUGUGGCUGGUGUCGGCUCCCAUGAUGGCGCCUCCUGCUCAGC
rnacentral:lncRNA from 1 species